AUUUACAGUGUAGUAGGCGGAGUAUGCGCUGAUUGCCUGAUGGGUGUCAGGUUUGAUAAAUACUACGCAAAAUGAGGAUGCAUAGCAUGUGCUAUUACAUAACUUGCAUAAACAGACGCAG